AUGAACGAUGUAAAGCCUAACUAAUAGUAUACAUAUAAAUUAUUGUAGUAGACUAUGUAAAAGCUUAAUCUAUGUAACCUAUGAUUAUAUGUACUACACAUAUGUAAAUAAUUUAUGGGCUGGGGACCGGAGGGGUAGGAGGGAUAUAUUUUUUAUAUUGUUCCGUCAAAAAGACAAUAUUUUCAGUCAAUUAGAUUGAUUUUGUCUAGUUAAAUUGGCUAUAAUAAUAGUAUUAUAUGUAAAUUUUUGUGUGGUAAUUAAUUAAUCUUAAAGGUUAAAUUAAUUUUUUUAAAAUUGCAGUUGUUUAUAUUGUUUAUUUUAUCAUUAAAGAUGCAGCUAAUAAUUUAAGAAUUGUUAAAAUUUGUGCCAGCAAACGCGGUUAUACAAUUGAUUCAAGUUAAUUUUUUUGGUUUAUAUUUAUUAAAUGAUUUGAAAAUUAAAAUAAUAAUUUUAAAGUGAAAUUUUAAUUUUAUUUAUAUUUUUUUGGUUGAGAUUAUAUGAAAUUUAAAUUAAUAGACUAGGAUUAGAUACCCUAUUAUUUUAAAUGUAAAAUAAACCAUAAUAUUAAUAGUUAAGACCUUUAAACUAAAAGAAUUUGGCGGUAAUUUAGUCUUUUCAGAGGAACCUGUUCUAUAAUUGACAAUCCACGUUGGAUUUUACUUUAAUUUUUGCUUGUAUAUCUCUGUCAUUGAGUGUUUUAUUAGAAUAUUUUCUUAAAUCAUUAUUUAGAAAAAUGGUAGGUCAAGGUGCAGCUAUAUUAAAGGUUGAGAUGGGUUACAUUUAAUAUAAUUUAUUGGAUUAACAUACUUUGGAAUAAGUUUAUGAAAAAGGAUUUGAAAGUAAUUAAUAUUAAUUAAUAUUAAUGAUUUGGGCUCUAAAUUAUGUACAUAUCGCCCGUCGCUCUCAUUAUUAAAAUGGGAUAAGUCGUAACAAAGUAAUUUUACUGGAAAGUGAGAUUAUAAAUGAC
rnacentral:ncRNA from 1 species